GUGCUUAACACAUGCAAGUCGAGCGGAAGGCCCUUUCGGGGGUACUCGAGCGGCGAACGGGUGAGUAACACGUGAGUAAUCUGCCCUGCGCUCUGGGAUAGCCACCGGAAACGGUGAUUAAUACCGGAUAGGACCACUUCACGCAUGUGAUGGUGGUGGAAAGUUUUUUCGGCGCAGGAUGUGCUCGCGGCCUAUCAGCUUGUUGGUGAGGUAACGGCUCACCAAGGCUUUGACGGGUAACCGGCCUGAGAGGGUGACCGGUCACACUGGGACUGAGACACGGCCCAGACUCCUACGGGAGGCAGCAGUGGGGAAUAUUGGACAAUGGGCGGAAGCCUGAUCCAGCAACGCCGCGUGAGGGAUGACGGCCUUCGGGUUGUAAACCUCUUUCAGUACCGACGAAGCGAAAGUGACGGUAGGUACAGAAGAAGGACCGGCCAACUACGUGCCAGCAGCCGCGGUAAUACGUAGGGUCCGAGCGUUGUCCGGAAUUAUUGGGCGUAAAGGGCUCGUAGGCGGUUUGUCGCGUCGGGAGUGAAAACACCGGGCUUAACUCGGUGCUUGCUUUCGAUACGGGCAGACUAGAGGUAUGCAGGGGAGAAUGGAAUUCCUGGUGUAGCGGUGAAAUGCGCAGAUAUCAGGAGGAACACCGGUGGCGAAGGC
rnacentral:rRNA from 1 species